AUAUCUUCUGUACAGUAACAUUCAAAAGUUUGAAAUCAUCUUUAUCGGAUAAAUCAUUGAUAUUAAUGUCUCGCACGACGACGACGGAGUCUUUUUGCACUCGAGCUUUAAAGGAGAAAACAAAUAUGAGUCGCACGAAGGACUCUUAAAGAUUCGAAUCGUAUUUUCUUCUGCUGGCAGUUGAUCAAUCGAUUUUUUCACACGAAAAUUCACACGAAUCCAGUGGAUUCUUUCAAACUUUUGAGCGACAGUGUAUGCAUGUUUACGUGUGCAUAUUUGUACACAAUGUACGAAUAAACUGGUAUAUCCCCAUCGCCAUGGAGAAAUGCGAGUCGCGGGUUUUUCUCGCAUGUGCGUACGAUCGAGCGAAGAAACCCUACCCGAGCUCUUUCAAGAGUUUCAUAUAUUCGAUACAGAAUCCGGCGAGGUCAGCCAACUGGCGGUUUAUCCGCUUUUUACGCACCUUCCUUGACAAAGCAAAGCGAUUAAAAAGAAUUAACAUCGCGUUGGAAACUGACGGAGUCACGGAGUGUCUUCCACCGCCGGUCAAUUACGUGUGAUGUCGUAUAAAUAUCUGUUUGUUUGUCAGACGUAUCUACGUGUGCGAUAACUCAGAGCACCCAAAGCGAAAAUGAAUUUUGGUGGGCGAUCGCCGCGGUGGGACGGACAGAAAAAAACAAGAGACUGUGUGCGCGAGGUAGAAUCCGUAGGUUCCAAAAGAUCGCGUGGGCUUUUAUCGUUCGCCCGCAAAAGUAAAUGCGCGCCUACGGUACAUCUGUGCUAACUCUUCACCAACGAGACUAGUUCCUCUAUGGCUUCCCAUAUGUGAAUAAAAUACGCACGGGUUUCGCUCUGUCUACCCGUUUCCACGUUAAUUACUUCCCUCGGCUCUGCAUCGCAGUGCUAAUUAAAUUUGGAUUGCAACGAGUUUUUUAUUUGGCUUUUUUUUCCAACGAAGGUACAAGUUUUCAACGAACUGUUGUAUGCAACACUGUAUCGGAUUUGAUUUGGCGAAGUUCGAGGAUCGAAAAUUCCAAAAAUCCUUUUCCAAAAACUUUCUUUUUGCUCGAAAUUAAAAUUGACAAUCUAAUGCUCGAAUUUGAUGAAUUAAAUGAGAUCAACUAGUUUUCAACGAUUACGAACAUUGACCUUUGACACAGACGAAAAAGCAUUAUUGGCUAAUAGUUUAGAUGAAGAGCUUUCUCAAAAUAAUACAUUUUUUCCGCAUCGAAUAAGAAUAAAUCGAUUACUCGAUUACGAACCUUGGAAAACUAUUUUUUUCGUUCUCAUAUUAGUUUUUGUUGCGGCAAUGGUUUGUGAAAACGGUUGCUCGCAGCUUAAAAAACUGACUUCUGAAAAUAUUUCUACUACAGAUAAAAAGUUUGCAAUAAUCUAUGCGGAACGAGAAUUAAAGGAAUUCUUUCGGAGACUCGAAUCAAGAUUUCUAGCGAAUAAACGCACCGAAACGAUCAGGCUAAAAAUUAUCCAUUGAUGUUCAAAUGAUGGGAUAUUUAUAGAUUUUUCCUAUCUAAAUAAUUCCACUUCUUAUGAAUAACUAAUGGAGUCGAAGAGCCAAUGAAUCUCUCAACAAUGAACGAAUUCAAAAAAUAUAUCAAUGCCUACCUAAUCACAGUCAUGUGAAUUUCUAAUAAAAAAAAAAUUUCAUUAUAUUUAUUCCUACCGAGAGUGAAUUAGAAUAUUGCUGAGAAUUCACUAAAAGAUAUCAAGGUGUCUUUGGAAGCGUCUUGUGCCGUGAUUGAAGUUGGAUAUAAGAGGGUAAGUAACCGUGAAGAAAUGGGAUGGAAUUGUAAGGGAAUAAACGCCUCUCGUUCAUUCCAACAUCGAUAUUGAGUAGUACAGAACAAAUUUAAUUUCUCUACCUUCGAAUGCCAUAUAAAGUGAAGUAUUGAAUCUUGUAUUGAGUUGAGUUGUCAGAAACUGGGAAUAGAAAAUUAAGAGAAAGGAUAAAAACGAGUAAAAAGUGGAUUCAUGACAAAUUAAAGGCCAAAGAUGUGUGAUAGGUGGCAAAAUGGAUAUAGAGCAAGACGCUAUUUCUGUGAAAAGAGCUUCUCACCAAAAAGGGAAGUCUACGAGUGAAACAACGAGUAAAAAAGGAAUUCAAAGGGUUUUUGAAUCGCAAUUCUGCAAUGCCGUUUUCCACGAGGUUCCCCCCUCUUCAUCUUAAUCACUUACAACGGAAGAAAGUGACGGUUAAUUAGCAAGAUUAAUAGGAAACUAAGAAGAUGAGAGUUAUGUCGUGGUGUUAACGUUAUGGUUAAUAAUGACGUUAUU